rnacentral:lncRNA from 1 species
UUUGGAUUUGAAUUUUUGGCGUGGAAAAUGUGUCUUGUUUGCCGAUUUUUUGUAUGAUUUUAUGUUUAUAUCAAGUCUCGUUUAUUCGGUGAACUAAAACGGAUCGUAUUUUCGAAAUAAAGCUCAAUAUUUGGUGAGUAUUUUUAUAUUUUAUAGCGAUUUAUAUUUUAUUUACACUUCAAUUGAUUGUGAUAGAUUUGAUUUUGAUCGCACAUCACAGAGUGUGACAAUAUAUAUAUAUCUAUUCCAUACCGACCUAAUCCUUCGUAUAUUACAGAUAAUAUUUUUAAUAAAUAAUAGUUUUCUAAAUGGCAGUAUAUUUGUUAUUGUGUUUUAGACCAAAGCUCUGAGCAGAGAAUUUUGCUUAUAUUAAGUAUAGAAGAUUCAAGGCAACUAGGCAAGGUAUGGGUCUAUACAGUAGAUUGAAUUUCUCUCUUGUAUUAAAAUCAUAGGCUGUAUAUAUAAAUGAAAAUGUUUUUCAAAUUCUUUGCCGGUAACAUAAUGGUGCUAAAGCCCUGUUCACAUGAUCCCGGGAUAAACAACUGCCCCGCGACAAGUCAUUGACCCGGGAUACUGAUAUCUUCUGUUUACAUGAACAAAACUAGCGCGGGUCAUGCCUAUAAAUACAUUACGCGGGAAUCAUAAAAUAUUCCCGCCAACGUGAAACGGUGAAAUAUUGCUAAAUAAAAAACAUUCUGAUAAAUGCAAGUCGUAUUUUAUGUUAUGAUAUUUACAAAUAGAACGUAGUUGAUUAUCAGCCGUGGUAAAAUGUGCUCAAUUCAUUGUUUCUGGUUGACCAGAUCAAAUUUUUUGAGUAGCAUGCUACACUUCUUGGUUUCAAACAUGAUAUUAGCGACAAUUUUAUUUUAAUAUUAUUAGAAUCAGAUGUCACGUAUAGAUUUCUAAUGGUAUCUUCAAUCAGAUAACAAGUUUUUGUGGAGUCCAACGUGCUCUAAAUGUAAUUUUAGCCGCGAUUUUGAUCGUUUUACAAAAAAUUUAAUUAUCCCGGGACAAAGUUGCUCCGGGGCAAAGUGUUCACAUGAGGAUCCGGGGCAAAGUGUUCACAUGAGGAAAAGUUGUCCCGGCUAGGCGAGUGUCCCUGUCUACAGAGGCGAGGCACUCGGGUCAAUUCUUGUCCCGGGGCAAAUAAAAUAUCAUGUGAACAGCACUAUUCUUUUAUUAAGGAGCCGAGACAAUUUUUGUCCCGUGACAAUUGCUUGCCCCGAGACAUACGCUGUCCCGGGUUCAUGUGAACAGGGCCUAAGGUUAUAUUCAUAAAUAAAAAAAUGAGUAGUAGGUGUUCAAUGUUCAUGUAAAAAUAUAUUCACUCAUUAAUUUUGGCAAUGUUGGCCAAAUUUUCAACCAUUACUGGGCUAGCCUGUUUAAUAGCUGAUAGCCUCUGUCUCCUCGGCAGAGCUCACCUAAACAAGGUGAUUUGCCGAAGCAAGGGAUAGAGGGCUAGACUUAUGAAAUUGAAGCUUCUCCUUGUUAAAAAGCCAGAGGAGAGAGUGAUAGCCUGGAGUCGGGCUGAAAUUUGUCCAUGAUGUAAAGUCACCAGCCCGGAUAACCAGGCUAGCACAAACACAGUCUCGUAAAAAAGGAAUAUUUUUCUUGAUUGGGUUGUUCCAGAAAAGAUCCAUACUCCUCCCACAGAGGAAAUUUCUGCCAUCCGGAGGGGGAGGGGAGAAAAAAUUGUUUCUGAUAAUACUAAAUGUAUUAGGACAUUCGAAGGGGGUAGGGGGGUUAACUUCCUAUUUCCUCCGUGGGGGUGGUAUGGAUGUUUUCUGGAAUGACCCUUUAACUUUUAUUUCUUAAGUUAAUCUUGCUGAUGCAAUAAUUUUAAAUUGAAAAUUUGUCAAAUAAAGCAUGAAUUUGACUGAACAGUGAAAACCUUCAGCUAUUAUCUUGUAAACAAGUAAAAAGUUUUCCCACCAAUGUAAUAUAAUUUCCUUGCUGACAUUUUUGCCUCGCAUACAUCUCAUUCUGGCUACCUGGGCUCGUGUAAAAAGCCUGUUUACUUUGUCUGAUACCAGACAAUUUUACAGAGAGAGUCUUGCAAAUUAACGAGUGAUAUAUUUUUACAUGAACCUUGAACACCUACUUUAAUAGAGAUGAGUAACUUGCUUUGAUGCAAUGAUGGGAUAGGGAUACCAUUUUGUUUGUGUGAACUGAGACUUACUGAGUAUGUUAUCUGAGUUUACAUCAGACAUAAUUUGCAAAUACUUUUCCCAACCCAUUGCCAAUGUUUUUUUUAAAGCAGAAAAUAAACUAAAUAGCCUCUAUCUAUACAUAUAACUAUGAUCUAAAUCAUCUAAUUAUUUAUCAUUGCCAUUAUUAGUAUUAUAUUAGUACUAUUCCAUGCAGUGGUGUAACUUUCAUUUUUUGACCACUUGCCCUCAGGGCAAAUUGGACAUGAAAAUUAGUUGCCCUGAACUUCACUUGCCAUCAGACAAUGGCCAUGCACUGGGGUACCUAGGUAGGUGGUAUAAAUUUUGGGGAACAACAUGUCCGUCCGUUCUCUCACUGCUCUAUAUGGCUAUGUUAUACUGCCUCAGAUCUAGCUUUGGCUCACAAUUAGUACAGUACAUGCGCUAUAAAAAAAUUAUCAGACAAUGAAAACAUAAAAUAAACUUCAAGAUAUCCAGCUUUUGGUGGCAAGGCAACUUGCAAGACAAAAUGUUUACUUGCCCAUCAUAAUAUUAUUAACUUGCCCCAGGCAAGCGGGCAAGUGUUAAGUUACACCUCGGAUUCCAUGGCUAUAUUAUUGACCAAUUGAUUUUUAGCGAUAAGCUAAAACUUGCCUUGUGCCCAGGGGUCUGCCUAUUAGCCCCAAAACAUGUUUCCUCUGACAAUUUUUUAAAUUCUAAUACUCAUCGGAUAAUUCAUCAGACUUUAAUCUUGAACUGUUUGUGCCAGUGUGGGUAGUGUAAAAAUAAACAAAGUUUUCGUUGGCAGGAAUGAAACUACCUCUAAGGGCCUUUGUUGGGAGUUAGUCGAAGACAACGAAUGACUUUCACUCAAAACGUUGAGUUUCUCCUUAUAUUUUUCAAGUAGUUGCAUUCCUGCUAAUGAAAGCUUUGUUCAUCUGACUUUCCCUCGAUAUUGUUUUUUACCAAAUUACUGGCAUCCAAUAUUGCAUUGCACUCUUGAUGACGUUAAUACACCAAAUGCUCAUCAGGAAUGUAACUGUUUACAUAAACAAAAUCCUGUACAGAUAUGGUAUGCUUUAAAAAUAAAUGUUUUCAGUAUUGUUCUGGAGGUUAGCACUUGGCAUGUGGGCUGUGAUUGUAAAAGUGCUGCACUUGGGAUUGCAUACCUCUAAUAGUUGCAUUUUUUGCAAUGAUUUUCAGAAUUUUUUCUCGUCUCAAACUGUCCAGGAAACUUAUAGUUUUGUUGCUAUUUUUGUUUUUAGGUGUUAGCUGAACUUCAGAUAAUUAUAAUCAAGUAAGAUCUGUAAGUAAUAUUAUAUGUUCUAUCACUUCUAUGUACUAGUUAAAUGUGCA